GUAGUCUGCAACUCGACUACAUGAAGCUGGAAUCGCUAGUAAUCGCGAAUCAGAAUGUCGCGGUGAAUACGUUCCCGGGUCUUGUACACACCGCCCGUCACACCAUGGGAGUCAGUAACGCCCGAAGCCGGUGACCCAACCGAUAAGGAGGGAGCCGUCGAAGGUGGGGACCGAUAACUGGGGUGAAGUCGUAACAAGGUAAC
rnacentral:rRNA from 1 species